GGGAUUGUGGCUCAGCAGUAGAGUGCUUACCUAGCACGUGAGAGGUCCUGAGUUCAAUCCUCGGCACCA
rnacentral:tRNA from 1 species